CCUACGGGAGGCUGCAGUGGGGAAUAUUGGACAAUGGGGGCAACCCUGAUCCAGCCAUGCCGCGUGUGUGAAGAAGGCCCUCGGGUUGUAAAGCACUUUCAGUGAGGAAGAACGCCUGGUGGUUAAUACCCAUCAGGAAAGACAUCACUCACAGAAGAAGCACCGGCUAACUCCGUGCCAGCAGCCGCGGUAAUACGGGGGGUGCGAGCGUUAAUCGGAAUUACUGGGCGUAAAGCGCGCGUAGGUGGCUUGAUAAGCCGGUUGUGAAAGCCCCGGGCUCAACCUGGGAACGGCAUCCGGAACUGUCAAGCUAGAGUGCAGGAGAGGAAGGUAGAAUUCCCGGUGUAGCGGUGAAAUGCGUAGAGAUCGGGAGGAAUACCAGUGGCGAAGGCGGCCUUCUGGACUGACACUGACACUGAGGUGCGAAAGCGUGGGUAGCAAACAGGAUUAGAUACCCUGGUAGUC
rnacentral:rRNA from 1 species